rnacentral:rRNA from 1 species
ACCUACGGGGCGCAGCAGUGGGGAAUAUUGCACAAUGGGGGAAACCCUGAUGCAGCGACGCCGCGUGAGUGAAGAAGUAUCUCGGUAUGUAAAGCUCUAUCAGCAGGAAAGAUAAUGACGGUACCUGACUAAGAAGCCCCGGCUAACUACGUGCCAGCAGCCGCGGUAAUACGUAGGGGGCAAGCGUUAUCCGGAUUUAUUGGGUUUAAAGGGUGCGCAGGCGGCGAGUUAAGUCAGCGGUAAAAUUUGGG